GGGAAGGGGAGGGAAGGGAAGCUACAUUAUAGCUGCAUGCAUGUUCAUUUGGCCAGGACCAAUGGUUCCCAAACUCCCCACCCCACUCCCAGCCCCAAAGAGCAUUUGAAAAUCUCAAAGGUACCCUUGAUGGACCACAUAAUUAUUUUCUCUGCCCGUUUUAGCAAUUGUAAUGCGCUGCUUUAGAUGCUGUGAAAAAUGCAAUUGUAUUUUUAUUGCUUCCUUUAUUUCUUGCAUAUUGUACAUUUGAAUUCCAUAGUAUUCAAGUUGUGCAACAAAAUACAUAAAUGCGUAAAUACAAAUAUAAAACAACACCACAACAUGGGUAUUCAAUGAGAUGCUGCCUCCCAUCUUCAACCACAAAUCCACAGAAACGCGGCAGACUGCCUGAAUCUCGACCACUGCUUGGGACCGUCUUCCUGGACUAUUCCAAAUGCCCCUUUCACAGGAGCACAUCCAAUCCCUGGUACCUUGUGAGCAACUUCAGAAGGUGGCAGCAAUAGCUUUGUUGCCACAUUACCCAGGAUGGAGCCCAUCAUUGAUAAAGGUAUUCCCUACAAAAUUAUAAAAAAGGUGCCAAAUAUCACAAAUCUAAACAAAAGCUGGUUUCCACAUAAACUUCUUGCCAGUUUACUAUGAGUAAAAUAAUGUGUUUUGUCAUGUUAUUUGAAAAAUCAGUCCACCAGCAAAUUUGCUUUAUAAAAUUUUAAUCUGGCAAUCUUUUUUUCUGCCUCCACUCAAGUUAGUAUCUAAUGACCCUCUGCUUUCUUCUGUGUUAUGUGUGUGUGUGUAUAUACACACACAUACACAAAUUAGAGGUACAGAAUAAUUAAAAUGUCUUCAACAGUACAGAUAUUUGCCAUUUUUUAGUCAAUAACUGUUAUUGCAAAGGUUGAUGAAUCCAGUACAUCAAGUAACAACAGAGCAAAUAACUAUUUACCUUGCCACAACACACACACCCCAUAAAAUUUUAAUUUUUGUUAGCAAUCCACACACAAUUCCUCCUCCGGAAUAACACUUGGGCAAAACUCUGUUGUGAGUGGAAGACAAAGAAGAUAAAUAAGGUCAGGAAAACUGUUUACAUGACAAGAUAUAAAAGAACAAGAUCACCGUCAGUCAGCACAAUGAACAAGAUGAGAAUUCAGUGCUAAAACAUAAAUAUAGAUGUUAAGCGUUCUUAAUUUGCAUAGUAUGGGGGAGGAGGCUGUGAAUUGUCUUCUGUAUUAUUAACUGAUAAAAGAGCUCCGAGUUGAAGUAAAUUUGUCUGUCUUCAGAGUGCCAUGUAAGACACUCAAUUUGGGGGUUAGCUUCUCCAUAAGAGCGAUAUACCACAUUUUGUGGUACCAGCAUGGAAGUGUAGCUUCAGUUGUGUUCCUCCAGCGUUUUGUGAUAGUUAGUCUUGCGGCCAUUAAGAAGUGCCCAAUUAGACCUUUGUCAGAGACGCCUAGUUUCCUAUAAAGAAAAAGGGUUUAAGAGUACCAGUUGUGGAUUCAUAAUUGAAUGUUGAGGUAUAUCGUAAUUUUCUGAAUUUCAUUAGAAAUACAAGUCCAGAAUUGCUGAACCCAAGAGCAAGUCCACCACAUAUGUACAUACAUGCCAGUGAUUAAGGAACCUCUCCAACAUAUUGGUAGAGUAGUUGGGGAGUUGUGUGAAAUGCGGACAGGCGUAAUGUGUAACGUUGAGACGGGCUCAGAAUCCUGUGCUCAUUAGGCAGAAGGGAGAGCAGCAGGUCGGAGUGGACAAACAGCUCUGACGAUUCCACCCAUCCCAGUCAAGAACCAAGGGAGUUGGGAUUGCUCUGCCAACAGGGGGGAAAUGGUGGCUGGAAUUGCAUUCAAUGAAUAGGGCCAGAACAAGCAAUGCCUAUAAUUAAUAAAUGGACAUUAAAACAAUUUGUCAUCAGGAGCUCUUAGAUUUCAAGAAUCUUCUUAAUUGUUCCUUCUACAGGACAAUGCGUACCACAAUUCUCCUCAUAAUGCCGUAAGAUCAGUCAGAAGUAAACAAUGACUGGAUCAGUUCCAAAGAUCCAGGGCUUUGCUGGAGCCAGGAAUCCUAUAGACUUAGCCAGGGAGCUUAUUUUUAGUGUCAUGACUCAGUAGUAAGAGAGGCGAUCAUAAUUCAGUGGCUCCCCACACCCAAAAAAAUGUCCUAGUUAGUGAGAGUUAGUUUACAAAGUUACGACUAUCUGAACACCCUUCUUCUAUCUCCCCUAAAAGAACACGCAAAAUGAAUAGUCUCCUAAAUUCAGUGCCUAGGACCAGUGCUUUUUUCUUUAAAAAAUAUUUAGGGGUACUCUCAUUUUGACUCAAGAAAAUCACCAUUUAAUAGUUCCAAUUGGGAAAAAUAAAUACAGCAAAUGGACAAGAGUACAAAGAUUCACAAAAUGUUUAGGGGUAUACGUAACCCUGCGUUUCCCCCCCCCCCCCAGGAAAAAAGCACUGCCUAGGACUAGCCAUAGCUCUGUGCCCUGCCAGGAAAUGGUAAAAGGACUCCAUUGCCAGUCUUAUGCAUUUACAUGUAAGAUUCACAAAACAGUCUCUGAAACCUUCGACAAAACGAAGCAUAUAUAUUUUAAUAAAUAGAUUAAAAAUAUAAAAUUAUUCAGUUUCUGAAGUACUGUAACAAUCUCUUUAAGGUGGUGGUGGGGUUUUAUAUUAAAAAUGUUUUCAUUAAGGUUUUCUUGGGUUACAAAAGUACAUACAGCAUCUCUGGUUUCAGUUCAUAGAGUCCUUUCUAGAGAUCAGUUAUAUUUGAUGUGUGAGACACUAACAGACAACAUAAUGUUGGGGGAGAGGAGAGGUGGGGAGAGAGAAGCAGGGUACACUGGAACCUCGGUUGUCAAACGCUUUGGAAGUUGAACAUUUUGGCUUUUGAAUGCCGACAACCGCGAAGUGAGUGCCUCCGUUUUCAAACGCGCCUCGGAAGUCGAACAGCUUCCGAGGUGCGUUUCUCAAUUUUUUCAAUGAACUUUGCCGACCAGCAAUUGCGCUUCAGUUGUCAAACGUUUCAGAAGUCGAACGGUCUUCCAGAACAGAUUACGUUCGACAUCUGAGGUUAUACUGUAUAUAAUGUUGGUUUUAAGUACCCAUAACUUUGUCCUUCUUCCAUAUAUUGCUGUCCAUCAUUUGAUGACUACAGCAUGAAUGAGCCAUCACAGACCUAUCACUGCAGAUCUUUUCAUGGAAUGCCUCCUUAAACACAACACUUUUUUUCAAUGAAGGUAGUUAAAACAUUUGGUGUGGAGGUAUGGAACCUCAGAGUAAUUGUUAAAUUGACAGCUGUGAAAAGCUGUCAGGAGCUAAGGAAUGCCCAUUUCAAGGUGGAUCAUCUCUAGGAGGUGAGAAUGAAGAUGUUUUAUCUAAAUGGGAAUGGGGAUAGAAGUAGGCAAUGAAAGUGGACAUGGUAGCCAUUAAAAAAUAAAAGCUCAAAGUACCGCAGGGAAAAACAUACGAGUCAGAUACAUUUGAAAAGAGGCACCAUAUAUAAAUGUUCUAUGUGCCAGUGCUAGAAACAGGUGAGCCAAGAUGGGUAAGCUGGAGCAUGCAGCUUUGAAAGAGGGCAUCACUAUAGGAAGGUCUUAGGGUGGUGUCCAUCUGUAUAUCAAUGAGGAGAGAGUCAAACAAGAAACCCCAAAAUGGGUGGACUUCUCUAAAGCAGUGGUUCCUAAUUAGUGGUCCGUAGACCCCAGGGUGUCCACGUUACCCACCCAGGGGUUUUUCCAGCACCAUUCACAUAAUAAAAACUGGCAUAGAGAUAUCAACAUUUUCAAAAGGAGGGGGUCCAUGGCUUGGCUGUUGAAAAACAAAAGCCUAGGGCUUGAGAUGGAGAAUGGAAUCCAAGAGGCAUUCAAAGGAGGAAGGAUUGCAGGAAUAGACAACUUAAAAGACCCUCACAAACCGGGUAAGUGUGUAAAAUUUGAGAACUGGUAGAAAAGAAGUUGAAAAGUCAAGAAGAUCAAAUCUCUCCAGUAUGCGUGGGAGAUAUUUAAAGCCACUAUUUUAAAAACUCCACUAGAAUCAGAAAAUGCACCAGAAAAUACAGCAGAUCAGAAAAUGCACCAUUGGGUACAAGAGGAUGCCUGCAUGGUUAAAAAAAAACAGUCAACAAAGCUAUCAAAGGCAAGAAGGCUUUUUUUCCCCAUACAAUGGAAGUCUUCCCCACAUGAGGAGGACAAAAAACAAACCUUGGUGGAGGUUGCAAUAAGAAAUGCAAAAGGUAAAAAAGGAGUGUAGCACGAAAAGCAUAAAGGCUAUUUUAAAAACCAAAAUAUUAAAAUACAUUAGAAGCAGGCAAGGAUGCAAUUAGACCUUUACUCAAAAGGCUCCAUGUGAGCACUCUUGCAAAUCUAGUGCAGAUCCCAUCAUGGGCAUCUGUGUACAGAUGAAGGGAUCAGCAGAGAACAUCCUGUAAUAAAGAAAAAGGGAAGGGCUAGUUGGGAAGGAGUGGAAUCGGAGUGAGUGUGGUUGGUUACCAAGGCAACGGAACAGAAUCCUGGGAUGGGGGAGUUAUGGCGUAGUAGUGGAUAGCUGGGAGGGAGGGAAAGCAAUGAGAGGUUUGUAAAGUAUAGCUUCAGUUUUGCUUUGAGGAUAAAUUAGUUAUCAGGCGUGUCAACUUGAAUAAAAUAUGGGGGGAUAGUAAGAACCUCCCCACAUGAUCAAUCACAUGACACGGUGUGGGCACACCAUUUGAAUGGCAAUGCCUAUUGACCUUGGGAGGGGCUUGGCCCCCUCCAAUAUUUUAGGGAAGGGAACAAAGACCCCUCAGACCCUGGGAGUUGGCGCCUAUGUUAGCUGUGCUGAUUUUGUCAUGCUAAGUUGUUUUCUUAUCCCUUGAUCUCAUAAAAUACUAUCCAUUUUUGAGAGGAGUCCAAGAGUGUAGCUUCUGCUAACUAGACUGAACCCACAAGAUUAAUCAUUCUAGAGUAGACCCUUUACUACCUAACAGCACAGAACCCAAGGCUGCUGCUUGGGCAUUCAAAGGUAUAGAUGACUCUCCACUUAUGCAGGUUGUUACGUUCAGAGGCCCCAAGCUCAUAAGUGAAAUCACGUAAAGUGGGGAGCAGCCUCUUAACCCUGUUUUGGACACCCUCUCUGCCACAUGUAGGGAAGUGAUGGUGGCUGCGCUACCCCUCACACCAGCUGUUAGGUGGGGAGGCUGAGCAGUAUAAACAAAGGCCCACCGCACAUCUAAGUCUCUUUUGGGUUUCCUCACCCUCACUUAUGUUUUCUCAGGCUCCAGCGAGGGUCACCAGCUCCACAAAGACUCUCCAGCUCUUUCCUGCCAUUUCCAGGUCAAAUUAGAGUAAGCAGUGGGGAGUCACUUGUACUUCAAACAAAAUCACUGACCAGACCUGUUUGGAGAAACAUUCUUCCCCGAUGUUAGCAAACGGAAGAAUCAACUUUUCUUUCACCCUCACCAUAUUGGUAAUGCUUUCCAAGUAGACUCAUAGACGCAGUUCUAUUCCCGAUAAUAGUAAAAAGAUCAUAGGAUACACCUGCCAAGUCUCUAAGCAGCAAGGUGGAGCCAAGUUGGGUCCAGAUUUUGCAGCAAUUGAUUGUCAGGAAGAAUGAAGAGCACCUCCAAAUU